CAACCUCAGGCUCUGCCGACGUGAACUUGACAUAGCAGAGGUCCUCGUAGAUCUCCUCGACCCUGUCCUCGCAAGUGGCGCUGGGGAUCGUGAACUGCACCCAGGGCACCUCCGUGGGCGCCUGCGUGGGGCUCGCACGCAUAGAGCGCUUUCGGACACUGGCUCAGUUUGGCCAGGGUGCAGAGGACGCGGUGGAAGUUGGAGAGGUCGAACAGCAUGGACGGGUCGAACAGGUCUAUCUCGCGGAGCUCGAACACCUCGUGGCACGUCCUGAGGAACACUUUGAUGUUCCGCAUGCACAGAAACUGCACAUGAAAAAAAAUAUUGUGUUAAUAUUAUAUGUAUGUAUGUAUUUAGUUAUUUUCUUAAAUUUUUAUUUACAUAAAUAUUUUUUGUAUUUAUUAUUAUAUAUCUAUCUCUAUA